AUGCUUCUGACCGUUGGAUAUCGAGGCCUAAAGCAUAAGAGCAUCUCCAACGGCGGCGGUAAAUAUCACGCGCGCGGGGGAAACCUGUGUUUUAGCGCGCACGCUCCAGAGGGCGCGGGAAAUUCCGACGCGCGACGCGCGAAAAAGCGGCCCGACACGCACUAUAAAAUGCGCGCGCUCGAGCCGGCCCACUGCCCCGCCGCCGUCCCCUUCUUCCUCGCAUCCAGCGCCCCGCCGCCGCGCCCUUCUCCCGACGCCUUCUCCCCUCGCUGUAGCGCCCUUCUCCCGACGCCUUCUCCCUCCGCCGCCGACAUGCCGUCGCGCGUCUGGAGCAGCACCGACUACCGCGGCGUCCGCAUGCGCCCCUCCGGCAUGUUCAAUGCGGAGAUCCGCUCCGACGGCGUGCGUCUCGGUCUCAGGACGUUCAAGACCGCGCACCCGCCAGUGCGUAUGAUGCAGCGGCGUGGCGCCUCUCGAGGCCACGCUCGCAGAUGA
rnacentral:rRNA from 1 species